rnacentral:rRNA from 1 species
AUUGAACGCUGGCGGCAGGCCUAACACAUGCAAGUCGAACGGCAGCACUGAAGAGCUUGCUCUUUGGGUGGCGAGUGGCGGACGGGUGAGUAAUGUCUGGGAAACUGCCCGAUGGAGGGGGAUAACUACUGGAAACGGUAGCUAAUACCGCAUAACGUCGCAAGACCAAAGUGGGGGACCGUCGGGCCUCACACCAUCGGAUGUGCCCAGACGGGAUUAGCUAGUAGGUGGGGUAAUGGCUCACCUAGGCGACGAUCCCUAGCUGGUCUGAGAGGAUGACCAGCCACACUGGAACUGAGACACGGUCCAGACUCCUACGGGAGGCAGCAGUGGGGAAUAUUGCACAAUGGGCGCAAGCCUGAUGCAGCCAUGCCGCGUGUAUGAAGAAGGCCUUCGGGUUGUAAAGUACUUUCAGCGGGGAGGAAGGCGGUGAGGUUAAUAACCUUGCCGAUUGACGUUACCCGCAGAAGAAGCACCGGCUAACUCCGUGCCAGCCGCCGCCGUAA